rnacentral:rRNA from 1 species
GGCAGCAGCUAAGAAUAUUCCGCAAUGGGGGAAACCCUGACGGAGCGACGCCACGUGGACGAGGAAGGCCGGAAGGUUGUAAAGUCCUUUUCCAGCCGAGGAAGAAGCGGGGGAGGGAAUGCCCCCGCGGUGACUGUAGGCCGGGAAUAAGCACCGCUAAUUACGUGCCAGCAGCCGCGGUAACACGUAAGGUGCUAGCGUUGUUCGGAAUCAUUGGGCGUAAAGGGCAUGUAGGCGGCCGCGCAAGUCUGGAGUGAAAUCCCCGGGCCCAACCCGGGAACUGCUUUGGAAACUGCGUGGCUUGAGUCGCCGAGGCGGAGCCGGAAUUCCAGGUGUAGGGGUGAAAUCUGUAGAUAUCUGGAAGAACACCGGUGGCGAAGGCAGGCUUCGAGCGGACGACUGACGCUGAGGUGCGAAGGUGCGGGGAGCGAACAGGAUUAGAUACCCUGGUAGUCCGCACAGUAAACGAUGCACACUGGGUGUCCGGGCACGAGCCUGGGUGCCGAAGCGAACGCGGUAAGUGUGCCGCCUGGGGAGUAUGCCCGCAAGGGUGAAACUCAAAGGAAUUGACGG